AGUAAAAAAAAACGUUUCAUACGAUUGUUGCCCCGCACGAAAAGACGAGGGUUCCUCUGCCGCCGCUGCCGCGCCCACAUCUUCUUAUCCCCGGUGCUCGUCCUCUCCCCGCCGUCACCGAAUCCGGACGAGAUCGGCAGGAUCGGCUGCAUCUCGCGCGACGCCUGGCCACUGUGCUCAGGGAGAAGGGAGAAAGUAGGAGCGGUGCUGCGACCUAGGCAGCAGCUCGCCAAGCCAGGCGGCGGCAAACGAGAGCCUCAACCAAGAUUAGUCGUCGAAGCAGAGGAAGAGAGGAGCUCCAGCCGGAUACGAGCAGAGGACACCGAUGGAUCUCGACGGCCAUCGACGGGGACUUGAACGCCCCAGCCCCCAAAGCUCGCCUCAUCUUCUACAGGCAACAGGGGACGGCUUCCCUCUUGGCGCCCGUAGGCAGCCUCGGCUCGCCGCCGUCGGGAUCUGGCCAACACUGGCUCCUAGCGUUGCAUCCAUCAGUCCCGGAUCUCGCCGCUGUAGGAUGCAAGGAAGAGGAUGAGGUACGACAUGCAACAACGGAAGAAGGUGCAGAGCCAGCGAUUCGAUUUUGUUUGGUUAAAGAAGGUACAGGGCAACGACUGUAUUUUUGAUCAUAAUAGGAUCAGUUUGCGUUGGUGGCGCAGUAGUGCUGCGUAGGCAGCUGCUUCAAAUCUUCACAAUGCUGGGUGAAGCCGUCAAGGUGAGAUGAUCGAUUGCUUCUUGUCCAUUGUCACCUUAUUUAAGAUUACUGACCUGGUUCCUCUUAUUUCUCUUGUUGAUGCAAACCUGCUCACUUCACAAGCCGCGCUCACAACCACCAUCGUAGACUUCGUGGCUGGCAUGCUUAUCUUGUUUUCCUUUCUGGAUCAGGGAACAAAUUGCUCGAUCAUAAUCGUUUUUUCUUUCUGUUCCAGGGAAGCACGGAAAGAAAUGUUUCUAUGCAGCAUAACCCAAAAGUUUAAUUUGACGUAUUCCACCAAGCGUUAAUUUAAUCAAUUCCAUUGACGUACUUUAGGAACGAGGCUGUAUUGGGUGGUCUCUGACCGGCUGACGACAAUACAGAGUUGCCGUAGUUGAGUUGUGUUCAUGUAACACUGAAACUUGACAUAGUUAGUAUAAGAAGGUUUGGUUUACUUCCACUAUGUUACUGUUCAAUCUAUUUUAUAAACAUAUUGAUUAGCCAUUCUGGCAAAGAGGCAUCUUCAAUAUUUCAGAAAUCUCUUUUCCAGAAACUCCAAUUCUGCUCAUAGGAAUUGCGAUACCCAAUAUUUCUCAAUUUGCUGACAAGGUUGUAAUAUGUGUAUGCUUUACGCUUGCCGAUCCAUUGGAAGAGUAUUUUCAAGGAUUCUGCUGCUUACUAACUUUUUACAUACAUUGCACAAACUAAGCGUUAGGGUGACUGUUCCCUCUCAUUAGAAGUAAAACAUAUCUUCGUAUUUUUAUAAGGCAUUUCUCCCCAAAAUUUUACCCAAACGAUUCCCAUGAAGUAAUAUAUUUUGAUAUGUUUUUAAACUUCUAAUUAUGUACAGUACAUUAUUGUUGUGGUGUUGAUCAUAUCAACCACGAAACAAGGUUUAUAUUUUUUUGAGUUCUUAUUCUCUAAUGAUAUAGCAUUCACAGGUCCGGAGCACAAUGCUAAUUCAUAGAAAGCAUCUCUUGCUUGCGUUAAUUUGGCCUAGAGUUUAAUGUUUACAUGAUGCUCCGAAAGAAUUGUAUAUUGUUUAUCUCCCACAAGGUAUUUUUUGAUUUAUUAUGUGUACUUCUGUAUUCAAUGUUUUCUUAAAUUAUUUGACUUUUUGCACAUUAUGCAUUGACUGACCAUGAUCUAUGUGCCCAGAUAGCAAUAGAAUCAUCUUUGGAAAAAACUAUUACUUGUGAAGAUAAAUAAAAGUUCCGUCUUACAAAAUCAACUGAUGUGCUGGUUGAAAUUAUCAUGUUGGAUAAUAUUUGCUUUUACUAGCAGUUGGGUGCUCUUGUUAUUUUAUUUCCACAAAUAUCAUCACGUUUCGCUAUUGACGUCAUGCUAUAUUCCUUGACUGAAAGCAAACCCUUUAAUUGCAGCUGUACUAAGCAUUCUUUCCGUCUAUAUCAUGUCAUGAUUUUCUUACUAGCUGUAGUGGUGCUCUUAUUAUUUUUAUUUUCCAGAAUUACUGUCAUUUCACAGAUGGUGUAAACCUUGUUCAUGGCUAACUUAUAGAAUAGCAAACCUGGUUCAUGGCUAACUUAUAGAAUAACAAACCUUGUUCAUGGCUAACUUAUAGAAUAGCAGAAACAGAUUUCAAAAACCAUCAAUAUCAGGAACACUCUGACCAUGUAUUUGAUUAUGUUAAAGACCCAAUAUAUGAUGAGGUCCUGCAUCUCCUGAUGUUGAGCUAUAUAGACUGGUAUUUCCAGUAAAUUUUAUUGACAGGCACUUUGGCGUCGUUAACAAUUGACACACACUUUGGUGUCUCAGCAACCAGGUCGCCACCGACCACCACGGUGGCUCGCCGUGAUGCCCUACCGCCACCCUAUGUACGACACCAGCGGCGAGAUGGGCGGGAACUCUUUGGCGUGCCGUCACACAGGAACAACACACGUCAUACACUCUGAAGGACAUGUUUGUCAGGCUUGACUUGACCUUGCUGCCUCUGUUGCUGGAGAUCAGCCGAAGAGUUAGCUUAUUGCCGCUUUGCUUCAAUGCUCUUCGACUCUCCGUAAUGAGCAGCUGAUGGUGCUUGGACGAAACAAUUGGUCAGAAAAUGGGUAGUGAUGUACUGGUGGUCAUGUGUCCGCCCACUAAAUGUAAAACACCAAAGAUGAUUCUUCAGGACUUGAUACAUUCCAAUUACAUAUUUGGGUCUUCUUCUUCUUA